GAUGAACGCUGGCGGCGUGCCUAAUACAUGCAAGUCGAGCGAAUGGAUUAAGAGCUUGCUCUUAUGAAGUUAGCGGCGGACGGGUGAGUAACACGUGGGUAACCUGCCCAUAAGACUGGGAUAACUCCGGGAAACCGGGGCUAAUACCGGAUAACAUUUUGAACCGCAUGGUUCGAAAUUGAAAGGCGGCUUCGGCUGUCACUUCUGGAUGGACCCGCGUCGCAUUAGCUAGUUGGUGAGGUAACGGCUCACCAAGGCAACGAUGCGUGGCCGACCUGAGAGGGUGAUCGGCCACACUGGGACUGAGACACGGCCCAGACUCCUACGGGAGGCAGCAGUAGGGAAUCUUCCGCAAUGGACGAAAGUCUGACGGAGCAACGCCGCGUGAGUGAUGAAGGCUUUCGGGUCGUAAAACUCUGUUGUUAGGGAAGAACAAGUGCUAGUUGAAUAAGCUGGCACCUUGACGGUACCUAACCAGAAAGCCACGGCUAACUACGUGCCAGCAGCCGCAGUAA
rnacentral:rRNA from 1 species